rnacentral:lncRNA from 1 species
UGUUAAUGAUGUUCAUGAGGGUGAAACCUUCAUUGAAGAUAUUAAAGGUCAAAUUCCAAAUUAGUUGUUCAAGUUCUAUCUCCUGUUGUUGCGGUUUAUUUUUGUUCUAUUUGUGCAUUUCUUUUCAAUCUUACUUCACAUACUGAUAAUUGAAUAAUAACUUAACUUACGUCUUUUAAUUUUGUCUACUACAGACGAGAUUGACCCUGAUCACGUGUCAUUAAAGACACCUUCUAACAAAACUGGAGCUUCUCUUAUUUCCCAUUCUCAAAGUGAUGAAGUUGAAGAUGUCAUUGAUUCGAAAUUAUCUUCCACCAAAAUGAUGAAGUUCCCAAAAAAGGAGUAAACCAACCUGGCCAACUAUUUUUAAGCUUUGAUUUUCUAUGUUUCAAUCAGUGGUUUCUUAUAUAAAUCACUUAGAAUGUUGCUUUAAGUAUGGUUGUUCUUAAAACAAAAAUAUACUUUUUGUGUGCUUAAAAUCUGUUAUUAUAUCUUAAUUGUGUUCCAGUACUUUAACACAAUUUGGUUUCUUUAUGUCUUAAAACCUAUAAUGUUCAAUAUAAUGCAAUUUCUA